GAUGGGCCUGGAGGGGGAGAGAGGGAGAAACUUCUCCAGCCCAGGCUCCCCCGGCAGAGCCUCAGCUGUGCCAGUCCCGGGAGAAGCCCUGGAGAGGGACAGGAGCGGCCACAGCUGGAGCUGCCAGCCCGGAGCCCUGUGGAGGUGCUGGAGGUGCCACCCUGAGCUGCUGCCGCCACCCAGGGCUGUCCCCUCUGUCACCAGCUCGUGUCUCUGACCCCUCAUCCCACUGCCCCCGCUGUGCCCUGGGUCCCAGGGGGGAUCCCUGGAUCCAGGACAUUCCCUCUGCUCCAGCAGGAUCGCGGCUCCCAGGAGCUGUCCUGGCUCUGGGGAAGGGGCUGGAGAAUGAUGACCCUCCUGGAAUGGUCAGGAUCCUUCUGGAAUGGGUCAGGGAUGCUAGAACGGUCAGGGAUCUUGGAAUGGGUCAGGGAUCCUGGAACGGGUCAGGGAUCCUGGAACAGGUCAGGGAUCCUGGAACGGGUCAGGAUCCUGCCCAAGGCCUCCCCUGGAAUGUCCCACACGGAGCACAGGGCCCUGUUUUUUUUGGAGCCUCCCUGAUCCCGCUCCAGCCCAGCUCCCCGCCAGCCCGAGGGCUCCCCGGGCUGUGGGGCACGCCGAGGCUGAGCCGGGUUCCCGGGGCCGCUCUGGGGUGUCACUGCGGGGAGCAGCGGCAGCAGGACGGUUUGGGGCUGCAGCUGGGGGCGCAGCAGGGCUGCAGCGAGGGGUCCUGGCCCUUGCCCAUCUGGCUGUCCCCGAAGCGCAGGCGCUGCUGCAGCAGCACCUUCUGCAGGGCGAUGUCCUUGAGCGCCUGCAGCACCUCGGGGCCCGGCUGGCCCUGCAGCAGGUCGUAGUUCUCCGCGGGGUCUGCCUCCAGGUCGAAGAGCAGCGGGGGCAGGUGCGGGGUCAGCGGGGUCAGCCCGUGGCACGCCUGGUCCGGGGUGGUGUCGCUGUGGAAGGAACCUGAGCCCCCAGCCCGGCCUGAGCCGCGCCCUCCUCCCGGAGCUCCGCGCAGCCCCAAAACCCCCCGAAAAACCCCAAAACCCCCCAAAGCCAGCGCUGACCUCGGGUGAAGUAGUGCGCCUUGUACUUGCCCAGGCGGACGGCGAAGGGGCCGUGCAGGGGGUCGGGGUCCGGCGGGAAGAAGAACACGGCGCGGCGGGGGCU
ensembl:lncRNA